rnacentral:lncRNA from 1 species
GGAAUUUUUAAUAAUUGGAUCCAAAAAGUUAUCUGUUGAAUUCUCCAACUGUCUGAUUGAUUAGUGUUUCGAGUGAUUUUGCUAAAAAAAAUAACCUAGUGAGAAUUAUUAGAUUGUAUUAAAAGGACUAAAAAACAUUUAAUUUACAGAUGGUGAUCCAUAUUCAGCAUCAGCAUCACUGUUUAAAUAGCUUGGAUGGAUGAAACAAAAACAACAACCACCACAAAAUAGUGAAAAAAAUAAGAGAAAAAAAAAAAUAAAAAAAAAGAGAGAACUGCAGGCCCUUCAGGAGAUUCAACCGUAAAUGCACCAGUAAAAGACAACAAACCAUCCUGUCAGGAUUGUAAGAACAAUAAGUGCAAAGCAUUCAAAGAAGAGGAGAUUCAACAAGUGUUAUCAUCAGUCAGAGGUAAUGGUACAUUAUAUUAUAAACUUAAGUUUACCGAUAAAUCAAGAAACACAGAAUGGUAUUUUCCAUGCAAGGUCCCAGCAAAACUAAUACGAGAAUUUCAUGCACAACGUACAAUGAGUGGUAAGAAAAGAAAAUGGCCAUUACAGCAGAAUAAACACAAAUUUUUCACAAAACCAGAUCCAGCUGUUAAUAGUGUACAAUAUAUUUCAACUAAAGUCACAGCCGACAUAAGCACUCAAACUGAAACCAUCAAUGGACAAGAUCAAAGAAUUGAACAUCAACAGUUAUUAAUUAGCCAUAAGAAUUGUGAACAACCGACCAUACUUUUUAAUUAAAUCUAGAAAUACUACAAAAUAUGAAUCAAUGACUUCAGCACCAAAUACUGCACGACAAGUUUUAAUAGAUCAUAAGGAACGUUUCAAACAAGCUCUUUUACAACAAGACAUUCAUUAUGCUAUGGAGAAAAGAUUAGGAAAGGAAAAUCAACGUGACUGCAGUUUUCAAAUAGCUUCCGAUGGAAAAAUACAUGAAAUUAGAUACAACAUAGAUGGGGAAAAUAGAAAUAUUUAUCAGGAUACAGGAAUCCAGUCAUUGCACCAGAGUGGGAUACGUUUGAUAGUCUGUCAAAUGCGUCAAUUAAUAACUUUAUAAAUGUAUUAGAAACACAGUACAAAAUUGAAAUAAGUAUGAGGAGAAGAUAAAUGUGUGAAUAGUACAUGUACAAUUUGUCAAAUAAGAGUAGUGUUUUAUAGAAUGAAAUAAUGAAUUGUAGCUAUAUAUUUUUAUUAAGCCACAAAGAUGGGCAAAGGAAUAGAUUUUUUAAUAAAACCACAUAGAUUGGUACAUUUUGUAAUAAGAAAAUUAUAGAGUUAAACCACAUAGAUUGGUAUAAAUUAGAAUAUAGAUUGGUAUAAAUG